rnacentral:rRNA from 1 species
AACGAACGCUGGCGGCAUGCCUAACACAUGCAAGUCGAACGAGACCUUCGGGUCUAGUGGCGCACGGGUGCGUAACGCGUGGGAAUCUACCCUUGGGUUCGGAAUAACAGUUAGAAAUGACUGCUAAUACCGGAUGAUGACGUAAGUCCAAAGAUUUAUCGCCCAAGGAUGAGCCCGCGUAAGAUUAGCUUGUUGGUGGGGUAAUGGCCUACCAAGGCGACGAUCUUUAGCUGGUCUGAGAGGAUGAUCAGCCACACUGGGACUGAGACACGGCCCAGACUCCUACAGGAGGCAGCAGUGGGGAAUAUUGGACAAUGGGCGAAAGCCUGAUCCAGCAAUGCCGCGUGAGUGAUGAAGGCUGUAGGGUUGUAAAGCUCUUUUACCAGGGAUGAUAAUGACAGUACCUGGAGAAUAAGCUCCGGCUAACUCCGUGCCAGCCGCCGCCGUAA